AAGUCGUAACAAGGUCUCCGUUGGUGAACCAGCGGAGGGAUCAUUAAAGAGUGUAAUAACUCCCAAACCCAUGUGAACAUACCUCAUGUUGCCUCGGCAGGUCGCACUUUUCUCGUAGGUCCUACCCUGUAGGCCCUACCCGGAAGGCGCGGGUACCCCUGCCGGCGGCCCACGAAACUCUGUCUCAUCGUUGAAUUCUGAACCUAUAACUAAAUAAGUUAAAACUUUCAACAACGGAUCUCUUGGUUCUG
rnacentral:misc_RNA from 1 species